UGUCUGUGUAUGCGGAUGUAGG
rnacentral:piRNA from 1 species